UACGUAGGGUGCGAGCGUUGUCCGGAAUUAUUGGGCGUAAAGAGCUUGUAGGCGGUUUGUCGCGUCUGCUGUGAAAAUCCGGGGCUCAACCCCGGACUUGCAGUGGGUACGGGCAGACUAGAGUGUGGUAGGGGAGACUGGAAUUCCUGGUGUAGCGGUGAAAUGCGCAGAUAUCAGGAAGAACACCCGUGGCGAAAGCGGCUCUCUGGAACGGUACUGACGCUGAGACGCGAAAGCGUGGGGAGCGAACAGG
rnacentral:rRNA from 1 species